rnacentral:lncRNA from 1 species
GCGCUUCCUUAGGCUGCAGCCAUGGCGGGGCAAGAGGAUCCAGUGCAGCGGGAGAUUCACCAGGACUGGGCGAACCGGGAGUACAUUGAGGUCAUCACCAGCAGCAUCAAGAAAAUCGCAGACUUUCUCAACUCGUUCGAUAUGUCUUGUCGUUCAAGACUCGCAACACUAAACGAGAAAUUGACAGCUCUUGAACGGAGAAUAGAGUACAUUGAAGCAAGGGUGACAAAAGGUGAGACCCUCACCUAGAACUGUGCCAUGCUGCUGCUGGGAAGUUGCUUUCACAGAACGCAGACCCUCGUGGGAAAGGCCCCAGCAGCCUUCAGCUCCUUCCUCUCUCCUUAAAGAGCAACAGGGCUUAUUCUUGUUUUUCUUUUUUUCAAAAAUGUGGCUUUUGGGCUCUGCCAUGUACACCCAGCAGUGUGAUGUGGCGUGUGGGGAGGAGUCCAGGGGAACUCUCAGAAACAACGUUAGGCAUUUUACUUCUUCAGUGACACUUUGUAGCACUACUGUCAACAUGUUUGAGGCGCUAAGAGCCAAAAGCUGGGACUCUGUCAAGGUCCUCCCCACCUCUCUCUUUCUCUCUCUCUCAGCCUUUCCUUGCAGCUCUCAUUGCCUCUGCAUUGAUUCUAUAAACGGUCUUUGUCUCCUCCCCACCUUUGGCCGGGGGUCAGAAGCAGUCCUGGCUGAGGUGCCCUGGCGAGGUGGCUGCCAGAGAAUGUUGUUGCUAACCCACCAGUUUCUUGUCCUUUUGGGGAGGUCAAGUCCAGGCCCCCACUUGGCUUGAAAAGGGACAUUUUCAGAGUUUUCUUUCUCUCACUUGGGGUGUCUUUAUCUCUCAUAUUUCCCUAAUAAACUCCUCAACUUUAUCUGACUGCUGUGAUUGUGGUGGGGAGAGGAGCUAGAGGUGGGGCUCACAUAUUCCACAGAAAUCUGAUGUGUGGGAUUCUUAUUCUAACAGCAAACUUUCAGAUGUAGCUGUUUGGUCAAACCUUAGGUGGCUUGCCAGCUGGAGCCCCCAUAUUUGGACUUUGCGCUAAUUCAUCCUGGGAAUCGUUUGGUCAUUCAGUGGACAUUUACCAAGUACUUAGUAUGUAGGCACUUUAUGCUCCAAUAAAAUAUACAGUGUUGAAUCAGG